GACGAACGCUGGCGGCGUGCUUAACACAUGCAAGUCGAACGGAAAGGCCCUGCUUUUGUGGGGUGCUCGAGUGGCGAACGGGUGAGUAACACGUGAGUAACCUGCCCUUGACUUUGGGAUAACUUCAGGAAACUGGGGCUAAUACCGGAUAGGAGCUCCUGCUGCAUGGUGGGGGUUGGAAAGUUUCGGCGGUUGGGGAUGGACUCGCGGCUUAUCAGCUUGUUGGUGGGGUAGUGGCUUACCAAGGCUUUGACGGGUAGCCGGCCUGAGAGGGUGACCGGCCACAUUGGGACUGAGAUACGGCCCAGACUCCUACGGGAGGCAGCAGUGGGGAAUAUUGCACAAUGGGCGGAAGCCUGAUGCAGCAACGCCGCGUGCGGGAUGACGGCCUUCGGGUUGUAACCCGCUUUCGCCUGUGACGAAGCGUGAGUGACGGUAAUGGGUAAAGAAGCACCGGCUAACUACGAG
rnacentral:rRNA from 1 species